CUCCUACGGGAGGCAGCAGUGAGGAAUAUUGGUCAAUGGUCGGAAGGCUGAACCAGCCAAGUAGCGUGAAGGAUGAAGGUUCUAUGGAUUGUAAACUUCUUUUAUGAGGGGAUAGAACCUCCCACGUGUGGGAGCUUGUAUGUACCUUAUGAAUAAGCAUCGGCUAACUCCGUGCCAGCAGCCGCGGUAAUA
rnacentral:rRNA from 1 species